rnacentral:rRNA from 1 species
AUUGAACGCUGGCGGCAUGCCUUACACAUGCAAGUCGAACGGUAACGGGCCUUCGGGUGCCGACGAGUGGCGAACGGGUGAGUAAUACAUCGGAACGUGCCCGAUCGUGGGGGAUAACGAGGCGAAAGCUUUGCUAAUACCGCAUACGAUCUACGGAUGAAAGCAGGGGACCGCAAGGCCUUGCGCGGGUGGAGCGGCCGAUGGCAGAUUAGGUAGUUGGUGGGAUAAAAGCUUACCAAGCCGACGAUCUGUAGCUGGUCUGAGAGGAUGAUCAGCCACACUGGGACUGAGACACGGCCCAGACUCCGACGGGAGGCAGCAGUGGGGAAUUUUGGACAAUGGGCGCAAGCCUGAUCCAGCCAUGCCGCGUGCAGGAUGAAGGCCUUCGGGUGGUAAACUGCUUUUGUACGGAACGAAAAGCCUUCUUUUAAUACAAGAGGGUCAUGACGGUACCGUAAGAAUAAGCACCGGCUAACUACGU